UGGCUUGAUCCGCAACAAGGUGCAGGAUUCAACGGUUACCACACAAAAUACAUCAGAACACGACCUCCAAACAACUAACCAACAGUUCAGUUGUGUUUGUGUUGCUGAAUCUGCUGAGAACUUUAAAUCUAUUUUCUUAUGCUUUUACCAAGACUGAGCAAUUAUGGCACUCUCAGCAUUGAGUCUUGGCCCUUCAAACCUUAACCCCUUUUCAUAUUCCAUAUUCAAGUCUCUCAAGCUCCCUCCUUUCUUGCAAACUCAGAAGGUGAAGAUAGGGCCUCUGAGUGUGUCUCCGAUGGGGUUUGGAACAUGGGCAUGGGGUAAUCAACUUCUUUGGGGUUAUCAAGAAUCCAUGGAUAACGAGCUUCAACAAGUGUUCAAUAUUGCUCUGGAGAAUGGUGUCAAUCUAUUUGACACUGCUGAUUCUUAUGGCACUGGAAGCUUAAAUGGCCAGAGCGAGAAGCUUCUUGGAAGGUUCAUCCGAAAUUUUCGAGAACAAAAAGGGAGUGGCAGUGACAGUGACAUAGUAAUUGCUACAAAGUUUGCAGCAUAUCCAUGGCGCCUUACGCCAGGCCAGUUUGUGAAUGCUUGCAGGGCUUCACUAGAAAGGAUGCAAAUUGAGCAAAUUGGGAUAGGUCAACUACAUUGGUCAACUGCAAAUUAUGCCCCUUUUCAGGAAUUGGCGCUUUGGGAUGGCUUGGUGACAAUGUAUGAUAAGGGUUUAGUUAAAGCUGUUGGAGUAAGCAAUUAUGGACCAAAGCAGCUUUUGAAGAUACAUGAUUAUUUGAAAAAGUGUGGAGUCCCUUUAUGUUCUGCCCAGGUGCAAUUUUCUUUGCUAAGCAUGGGGGAAGAUCAACUGGAGAUAAAGAGCAUAUGUGAUUCACUGGGUAUUCAAUUGAUUGCUUAUAGUCCCUUAGGACUUGGAAUGCUCACUGGGAAAUACUCACCUUCCACACUUCCAACUGGCCCAAGGGGGUUGCUAUUUAAGCAAAUACUUCCAGGCCUAGAUCCUUUAUUAAGUUCCUUGAGAGACAUUGCAAACAAAAGGCGCAAAACCAUGUCACAAACUCAUCUUCAUCCAAAAAAGGCAUAUCAUCAAUUGCAGAUAAAUUGGUUGAUAAUAAUUUUAACACCUGGAGGCAUCAGGUCCUACUCACAAUCCAAAGUCUUAGCUUAGAAGAUCAUCUUUACGCAUCAAAGAUUCCUCAACAAUUUCAAGAUGCUUCAUAGAAGACGAAAACAAAAACUGAAGAUUAUAAACAAUGGAAGCUUGAUGAUCUUACUCUUUGUACAUGGCUGCCUGCAUCAGUCACUACUCCUUUCAAGAAUAAAAUCAUCCACUGUCAUCAUUUCUUUGAGGUAUGGAAUACCCUCAAUAUAACUUCUCAGAAUCUUCAGCUACUGGAAUUCAAAACCUUAAGGCGUAACUCAAAAAACUGGAUCUACUACUAAAUAUAUGGCCAAGAUUCAAGAAUUGGUCGAUUCUUUAAAUGCUAUUGGUUACUAAAUAAUAACAAAUUCAAUAAUGAAAAGAAAUAUACUUAUUCAUGCUCAAAAACAAAGGAAUAAUCACACGAACAAAAUACUUGUUGGAAAAGCGACUAGCUUGAUAAAAAUCACGUUAAGUCACUUAAAAAGGAGGCAAAGCAUUAAAGAACAAGAACUUGGUAUGUGAUUAAAUUGAUAUGAAAAUCAUAAUGAAUAAGUAAUUCAAUUCACUUUACGAAAUUCAAAUACACUUAUAAAAAAUUUCACCUAAGAUGUAAUAAAGUAUGACUAUUCAACUCACCUAGAUGUUUGAAAUUAGAUCAAUGGACAAGUGCAUUAUCAAUUUUCAAUUUCAAAUAACAUUAAAAUCAUCCACAAGUACACAAUUCACUAAUAAUCUGCCAACUAAAAAUAAAGUUUACUACAUAUGGUGGGUGGUGACCAUAACAUAUGAAUCAAACGCAGUUUUCAUUCAGGCAUUAUGGCAAACAAUUGGUGUGCAUAGCAUACAUUCAGUGAAUUCAAGUUCAUUUCAACCCGCCAUGAACCAGAAAUCAGCAAACAAUUAACACUUACAAUCUAAUACAAUCAAACAACUAAACUAAUCUAUUUACUGAAAUCAUAAUUUAAAUGCAAUUAAAAGUGACCAAAAGAAGUAUGAAUCAGGGGAAGAAAAUGGAAGAACCUGCGUUGAUGAAGGAUGAGGAAUGGAGGGAGAGGGGUGGCAGUGGCACGGUGCUUGCCUCUGCUGGGCUCACGGCGGAAGCACGGCACUGGAACAGAAGGCGAGAAGGCGAGCUAGCUGGCUGGGAAUAGAGCUCGAAGAAGCGGUAAUGGAGGAAGAGAGAAGAAGAAAGAAAGAAAAGGAAAGGGAAACGGGGGGCGACGGUGGUCGGUGCCGCGGUGGCAGAGGGGUCGCCAGACGGGACUAGAUGGAAGUGGUGUUGUGAUGGUUUGGUGUUAUUUGGGGGGUUGUGGCAAACGAAGAAGAGAAGAGAAGGAUAAGGGGUUGAACGCGCGUUAGGCUCUGUUUCAAAAUUCUUCGCCAUUCUGUGCGUGCGUACGCACACUAAGGGAUAAAUUGAAAGCUGUGCGUGCGUAAGCACAAAAGCCUUUUCUUUAGGGUCGCGUACGCGAGCUACAUGCACGCGAAGGGUGCUCUGUCUUGGCUGUUUGCAUACGCGGAAAAGUGUCGCGCAUGCGAAAUGUUCCAAUUUGGACAUGAGUGCGUACGCACAAAGUAGGUACGUACACACGAAUCAAUGGAGUUGGGCUAAGUAUGCGUACGCACAAAUAUGGGUACGCACAGAACUCUAUUUUCACAACUUUUUAAAAACUUUGAGAGUACCAAACAGGAUGCUUGACCUAGUAUUUCAACUCCAAAAUUUAUUUUACCUCAAGAAUACACAAUUAGCACUAAAAUUCAAACAAACCAAGCCACAAACCAAGCCAAAAAUCCAACUAAACAAAGCUAACUAAGAAACAAAAUUCAAUGAACAAAAGCUAAAAAAAGAGAAAAGUUAGAAGGAUAUUACUAUGGUGGGGUGUCUCCCACCUAAUACUUUUAUUUAUUGUCCUUCGAGAUCCCAAAUAAAACACGUACAACUCUCAAGAAGCUCCAAGCAAGUGGUUAGGACCCAAGAUUGUUUAUUGUUGAAGUGAAUUCCGGAGUCCCAAACCUUAUUUGUCAACACUUUUUCUUCUUGAUCUUCAUGCUUCCAUUCGAGUGUCAUCACUUCAGAAUUCUCGUUCAAAUACCACAUCAUCCUCUUAGACCCAUUCAAUCUAACAUUCCUCCAACCAUGGGACCUAAGUCUUGAGAGUUCAACCUUAAUGAGCCUAACAUCAUUUUGCCAACCACUACACAACUCCCUCUUACUCUUCAAUCCACAAAGAGUUCUAAGUUGACCAUCCGUUUCAAGCAAACCAUAUUCAACUGGGACACAAAAGCUAAGAGAUAUGAAUUUUAUCCACUCAAAUGAUAUGAUGGACGGUUGCUUAGUGAGAGAGGCUCCAACCGGCUUUGGCAAGGUGAUUGCAAGUCCCUUUUUCUUUUCUUGAAUUACUUAGUCCUCUUAAUAAACUUCCUCAAUUUCAAUUUCUUAUUCACCAACUUCUUCUAUACAUUUCUCAUUGCUCAAGUCAUGUGUUGGAGGUUGUGUACGGUCCUCCUUAUCAUCAAUUUCACAACACAAUAAGGAAGGUUCAACAAUCUCAAAUAGCACAUUGGUUGGUGUGAAAUCACCUUCAAUAGUGGGGUUUGCCGCUUGCUCAACUUCUUCCAAUCUUUCAUUGUUCACAAUAUGCCAUGGAUGUUACGCAUUAUUAUCCUCAACAUCAAUUUCAAGCUCAAUGGAAGAAAAUUCUACAACCUUGGAAUCCACCUAACACUCAACUUCUCCUAAAUGUUCAACCAUUUCUUCCUCUUCAAUGAUUUCGGCUUCCUCCACUUGUUGCAAGACAUACUCCAUUUUCUUGUUCUCAAGUUGAGAUUCUAAGAUCUCCUUCAUACUCCGCUCUUCGGAUGAUUCUCCACAUUCAUUCGUGGAAAUGCUUUGUUUGUGGCAUUAAUUCCAUGAGUCGAAAUUGACUUUAAUUUCGACAAGGUUAGCCAUGAUAACUUCAUCCCUCAUUUGGGCUUCCUCUUUCUCUUUGAGAAUCAUGAUUGCUUUAAGGUGAUCCAUCGCCUCCAUGAGGCGAUUGCUUGGCUCUUGUUUCACUUGAUUAACAUAAUUAGGAUCAUAUUGCUCUUGGAUCGAUGGAUAUGGAUAUUCUUCCAUGGAGGGUUGUGGUGGAAAGGACAAUUCAUCAUGUGGUUGAAAGUUCUCAUAUAUAGGAGGUGGUUCAUCUUGGUAUUGAUAUGGAGGUGGUUCUAAGUGUGGUGUGUAUGGCUCAUACAGUUGUUGGUAUGGUGAAUAUGUGUUAGGAUCAUAUGGAGGUAUUUGGUGGUAUAGGACUUGUGAAUAAGGUUGAUAACAAUGUUGAGGAGGAGGAUCAUAACAUAUGACGGUUGUAGUUGAUAACUACAAGGAGGUCCACCAUGGCCAUUAGAUUAGUAUGCACUAUGGGAUGGAUUAUGCUCAUAGUAUGCCAGAGGAGGUAGUUGUCAUGAAGAUUGUUCAUAUGCUUGAGGCUCCUCCCACCUUUGAUUUUUCCAUCCUUAAUGCAUAUCUUUAUUGAAAUUCCAAUUUUUUACAACAUAAUUAGAACCAAAAUCAUAGACAAAAGAGUGAGAAUUCAUAGUAGAAAUAGAAAAUAACAAGACAAAAAAAACUAUGAAGAAAAACAAACUCCUACAACAAGAGAAAACUAGCAAAGAAACAAAAGCAACUAUUCACAAUAUUAACAUAUAUUAUAUACAAUAACUAAUAACAAGCGCACAUUUACAAGUCCCCGACAACAGUGCCAAAAACUUGACAGAGGAAAAUUGUCGGUUUGGAAUUUUCACAAAUUUUCACAAAAAUAAUCUCUUCAAAGUAUAGAUCCAAACCAUCAAUUAACCCUCAAUCAAAGUUUAAUUUAUUUGUCACAGUCAAAUCAAUAAAAAUUGAGGGUAUUUAAACUUCGAAUUGUCUCUCAAAAGAAUUGCAGGAAAGUGUGCAUGUUAUUGGUUAUGAGAAAAUGGGGGUUGUGAUGACAAUAGACAAAAAAUGUAAAAACCAAGAAAAUAAAGAAGUAAAUAAUAACUAAAUACCAAAAGCAAUUAAAAAACUAAGACAAUUAGAGACACCAAUUAAGAAAGGUCUUGGCAAGGGUUGAGAGUUGAAAUUCCUAUCCUCGUUAUCAUCCUCAAUUGUGAUAGUAAGUGUAUUUUGCUAUCACUUAGUUAUCCUCUAACAAUUGAAGAAAAGUCAAGUGAGCAAAACUUAAUUCUAAUCCAUAAGUCCUAGUCAAUUUCUAGUGAAGGACUAGAUUUAGUGCAGUUCAAGCUAACUAGCAACCUUCACUUAUCGAUCAACACUAGAUUUUGAUAACUCAAGAGUCUUCAAAUUACCAACCCAAGCCAAGAAUACAAAAUUCUACUCUAAAAUUGAAAGAGGCAUUUUAUCAAAUACUUAAUAUGCAUAAAGAAAAAAUAGUAUAAAUUGCAAUAAUGAUAAAAAUCUAUAACUACCAAUUGCAAGAAAAUAAUAGCAAUCACUCAAAGUCUCAAACAAACAUCAAGGAAUAUAAAAUAUCAAAAUUGCAUUAAAGAAACUCCAAAUUUACAAAUGUUCAUUAAUAUUAAUAUAAAGAGUAUCAAAAUAAAGAGUAACAAUAAAAAAAACUACAACUAUGAGGCUAGAACAAAAAAUUGUAAAUGAAACUAAAUAAAAGCAAGAACUAAAUUCUAAACUAAAGAGAGAUUUAAAUCUAAAACUCUAAUUCCUAGAGAGAGGAGAGAGCCUAUUUCUCUAGCAAAAUUGAUUGUGUGUGUUCUUCGAAUGUUUUUCCCUUGAAAGAGUUUCAAUUCAGCUUCUGGGCAUCCAAAAUUGGGCCAAAAGUCCCCCAAAUCGCAAGUCACGUGACCUUUUAAUGAAGUCACGCGUCCAGUCUUUUGCGUACGCACACAUUAGUGUGUGCAUCUUCUUUGUUUUUUCAUGUGUUGUCUCAUUUUGCAUGCUUUUCUUUCACAUUUUUCAAGCCAUUCUUGCCUAAUUGGCCUGAAAUCACUCAACAAAACAUAUCACAGCAUCGAAUGGAGUAAAAGUGUGAUUAAAUUGAUCAAAUUACGCAUAAAAAAAUAUGUUUUCACAUUUAGGUGCAAUUUAAGGAAGAAUCACAAAAGUAUGCUAUUCAAGCAAAUAAAUGUGAAUUUAUGUGAUGAAAUUCACUCAAUUUAACCUAAAAUUUGCCAUAAAAUAUGAAUUCAUCACCUUUCUCAAAGACCUCAAGGUGACAUACCUAUGGCUAAUCUUGUUCAAGCAUUGAUGGAAGAUUUUACAAAAUUUGGCAAGUGCAUUGAAUUGUAUCAAGUAAUACUACGGUGAAUUGGUUAUCCUUUUCACGAGGAUUAACGGAUUAAGCAAGUAAUGGUUAACUGAUUAUUCUAGUUAGAUAAUUGAAAACUUGAUUUGAGAUGAUUUGAAUACCAAAACAGCAAUUUAAAUGAAAGCAACAGUAAUUGAUUGAGUAAAAAAAGUGAUACAAUUAAAAUCGUUAAGGCUUUGAAGAUAUCUAAACUUCAGGAUAAAUGCUGCUCACUUGCUACCUUGAUCAUGCAAAGAUAAAUCCAUGACAAAUCAUAAUUAAUUAAACCUCAAUUCUUUGGUAAUUCAAUUUUUCUUUAAUCUAAUUAAUUGUUAAUUUCUUAGUCAAUUAUUUAAGAAAAAUGGAUAAGCACAGUUCCUGAUUCAAACCACAUAAUUCUUAGAAAUUAAACCUAAUUGAUUUUAUGUCACUUAUCAAAACUAGUUUUAGAAACUUACAAAACUAUGAGAAGAGGUUUCAAACUCAAUUCCAGUAAUUAGCUCUUCCAAGUUUGAUAACAUAACUCAAUCAGAUUUGAGUUUUUUUCCAAUACAUUCAAAUCCUAUUAAUGAAGAACGAAAACUUUACUUUUUGAGAAAACAUCAAUGCAUUAAUCAAAGAUAGAAAAAUAAUAACAUCAAUUUAUCAGAAUCAACAGAGCUUCUCACCUUAACUGAGAAGAUUAGUGACCCAUGGUACAGAGCAAAAACAAGGAUUCUGAGUAAUGUAAAAGAAGCUAAAGGUAAAAAAGUCCUCUGGAUCGUUUUAUACCCUAACCUAUACAAAAAUCUAGAAUUUAAAUUCAAACUUAAUUAAAACAAAAUCAAAUCAUAUAUUUUCUAAUUAACUUCAAAUUAAAAGUGAUUCUCCUUGUGAUUAGAAGUUAAGCCUUGGUGAGUUACUUCAUCAAAAUGCAUGGGCUUUCACUCAAUCUUGGACUUGAGAAUUGGUUUGGCAUUUGAGUGAGGUUUGCAGCCUUUGUUGUGCACCUCUCAGGGAGUCCUUGGCGUGUGGCAAGUGAAGCAAGUGUACAUGCCCUUGAUGCAUCUGCUUGGAAUGUCCAUUGGAGUUAGGUGUGGCACGCCCUUAAGGUGGCAUGGAGUUGGCGUGAGGGACGUGGGGCUAGUGGCACGCCUGCGAAGCUUGGAGGAGAGUGGGUGUGUUUGGGCAUGAGGGACGUCCCACAUCCUCGAUGGUUCAUGAGAAUGGGCGUCUGGGCGUGCAUGGUGUGCCAUGCCUGUGACGCAUGCAUGGACGAUGAAGGUGGUGACGUGUGCGCCGUGAGGGACGUCCCAUGCCUGCUAUGAUGGAGGGGACUUGGCGUGCCUGGCGUGGCUCACGUGGGAUGCCCUCGAGGCUUGGCGUGCUUGGGCGUGCAUCACAUGGGACGCUUUUGAAGCUGGGAGGAGAGAGGGUUGCUGGAUUUUGGCCUAGCGUGCCACGCUUGGCAUGCCCUUGAACAGCGGAAGAGAAUGGGCAUGAGGGAUGUGAGUUAUGUGGGAUACCUUUGAAACUGGGAUGAAGGUGUCGUGAAUGGCGUGGCACGCCUUCUAUGGUGGAGAAGGAUUGACAUGAAGCAAGUGCCACGCCUUCGAUGCACCCAACCUUGCUAUCUCUCUGGACUUUGGCCCAGCGUGUGAGUGGCGUGAGGUACGUACCACAUCUUCUAUGGAAGGUCGUUGGUGGCGUGAGGCAAGUGACACACAUUGUCUCUACUUGCUUUCUUCCUCUCUGUUCUUCCUUUUCCUCUAUUUUCUCCUUCCUCUCUUAGCUUGCUUAUUCUUUAUUCUUCAAUAAUCUCCUGCAAAACAGAAAACACGACAUUUAAAGUAUAUUGACCAAAGUACAAUAAAUUUAGAGAAGAAUCACUAACUUUGUUAAGAUAAUUAACUAGAAAACUACUAAAAAACGCACAUGCAUCAAGCAUCCACGCCGUUCAACUAUCAACCUGAAAGAGAGUUUUUGGCUGAAGUGGUAGAGGUGGUAGGUUCAAUUGUGGAGGUCGUCUUUCUUCUCAAACCAUAGUCCUCAGUGCCAAUUAUGUGGUCGCCAAGGCCAUGUUGUUCAAAUAUUCUUCCAUAGAUUUGAUCCAAACUAUCAAGUUUUUGGAAAUGGUUCAAAAAUUCAGCAAGCUUCUAUUGCAUACUCUACCACAUAACCACCACCAGCACCAUCACAAUUUCAUCAACGUCGUGCCUACUUCACUAGUUCCCAAAAUUACCAAGACUCAGUGUGGUAUCCUGAUUCUGGAGCCAGCCAUCAUGUCACACCUGAUUCACUAAACUUGCUGAAUUCAACACCAUCAACACAUGAGUCAGAACAAUUAUUUGUAGGUAAUGGCUAAGGUACGUGAAUCUUUGCUCAAGACGCUUCAAUUUUGUUUGAUAAAAAUAAGAAAAUCAGUUUCUUGCUAACUAAUUUACUGCAUGUCCCUCAAAUUACUCAAAAUCUCGAGUGUGUUUCAAUUUGCUUUAGAUAAUCAUUUAUAUUUUGAGUUUUGGCCUUAUGAUUGUAUUGUAUGUGAUCAGGAUACUCGAGAAAUUCUUUUCCAAGGCAAGGCUAAUGAUAGAAUAUAUUCCUUUCAUGGUCUGCUUGUUCCUGCACCUUGUGAUUCUCUAGAUACAAAUCCAUCUAAUACUUUUGUUUCUUGUAAGGAAAGUAGUCUUGCUUUGUCUAAUAAAACUGCUCUUGUAUCACAAAGUAAUAAAGAUAUAAACAAUUGACCUUUGGCAUAAACGUUUAGGUCAUAGCUAAAUACAAACUGUUCUUUCUUUCUGUUUUAAAGAAGUGUGUUGUUCCUGUUAAGUUUGAUUCUUCUGUAGCUAAUGUGUGUGAAUUUUGCACUAUGGAAAAAAAUGCAUCAAUUACCUUUUCAAAAAUCUGAAUCUGUCUAUUCCGCUCCUUUAGAUCUUGUUUAUGCUGAUGUUUGGGGUCCCUCUCCUAUGUUGUCUAGAAAUGGUUAUAGAUAUUACCUUUCAUUUGUUGAUGCUCACACUAAAUUUAUCACCAUUUUUCUCGACUAAUAAAUAAAGGCUUUACAAGGUCUUCAAAACUAUAAAAUGUUUAUGGAAACACAAAUUGGACUGAAAUUGAAAGCUAUACAAACUGAUAAAGGAAUGGAGUUUAUGUUUAAUUCUUUUAUUCAAUUUCUUACUACUAAUGGUAUUAUGCAUAGAAAGUCAUAUCCCUAUAUACACCAAAAACAAGGUAGUAUAAAAAGGAGACAUAGACACAUUACUGAAGUUGGAUUGUCCUGAUUAGCUAUUGCAGCCCUUCCAAUGUCUUUUUGGAAAGAUUCUUUACUUCUACUGUCUAUAUUAUUAAUAGGUUACCAAGUUCUGUUUUGAAGAAUAAAUCACCUUAUGAGAUGCUGUUUGGUAGAAUUCCAGAUUAUUGUUAUUUGAAAAUAUUUGGUUGUGCAUGUUUUCUCUAUCUUAGGCCAUAUAAUAUGGUCAAGUUUGCUUUCAAAUCUGAAAAAUGUGUGUUUCUUGGUUAUGAUAACAACUAUAGAGGUUAUAAAUGCAUGACAAAAAAAGGUAAGAUACACUACUCGACAUGAUAUAUUUGAUGAAACAGACUUUCCAUAUAAUUCUUAUUUCUUACACUUCACCAAGCAAAGUGUAGACUUUUACUUUUACAAAUCCCUCUUCCUCUAUUAAAGCUACAGCACAACCUUCACCAACCUCUAUUAAAUCCUCACCGUCUCAGACACAUCAAAAUCAAAGUUCUCUAGUAACCAUUGAUCAUCAAGCAAUUGAUCAUAUUGACCCUCCAAGGCUCCAACACAUACUACAUCCAGCCAUGACCCUAUACCCGUUUCAGGUCUUGAAAUAUGCUUACCUUUUGAUUCUACAUCUCAACAUAAUGUGCAACACACUACAAACACUCAAAGUAUGAUCACAAGGUCAAAAUAAAAAAAUUCAAAACCUCAAGCUUUGAUUCCUUCUACUUCAGUCACAUAUGAUUUGACUCAAAAUAUACCGAAAAAUGUCAAACAAGCCCUCCAAUGCCCUCACUGGAAGUGGACUAUGGAUGUUGAAUUUCAACCUCUUUCAAGAUGCAAAACAUGGGAUUUGGUGGAUCCUCCAUCAAAUAAAACUGUUUUAGGGUCAAAAUGGGUCUUUGCAAUUAAAAGAGAUCCUUUGGGCAGUAUAGUCAAAUACAAAGCAAGAUUUGUUGCCAAAAGAUUUCUUCAAAUUGAAGACAUAGACUACAGUCAAAUAUAUAGCCCUGUAGUGAGGCCUAUUAUAGUUCGAAUUGUCAUCACCAUUGCAUUUUCUCUUUGUUGGAUUCUAAGGCAGUUCGAUUUUGACAAUGCCUUCCUAAAUGGCAAUCUAUAAGAAGUUUUUAUGACUCAACUUGCAGUGUACCAAGUAGGUAAUGACUCAAAGGUUUGUAAACUUAGAAAGGUAAUUUAUGGAUUGAAACAAUCUCCAAGAGCUUGGUUCAAUACCUUAACUACUACUCUAAUUAAUUUCAUUAUUUGUGAGACAUUCUAACAAAUCUACAAUUUUUCUUUUAGCUUAUGUUGAUGAUAUUGUUGUAACUGGUAGUGAUGCUCAUGAAAUUGAUCAACUAAUUUCUGCUCUUGAUCAAAUUUUUCCUCUAAAGGAUCUUGGCAAGUUGAGUUAUUUCCUUGGUUUAGAGUUUUCUUAUCUGACAGAUAUUACACUUUUAGUUUCUCAACAUAAAUAUGUCAAAGAAUUGCUUAGCAAGGCAAAGAUGGAUACUGUCAACCAUAUGCCCCUAUGGUUUUCUCAUUAAAAAUUGACUUUUACUAGUGCUGAUCAUUUCGAGAACCCCAAACAAUCUAGAGAAAUUGUUGGAGCUCUUCAAUAUUUGACAAUUUCAAGACCUAACCUUGCCUGUGCAACAAAGUUUCUUAACUCUUGCACUCUGCCACUAUUGAGCAUUGGAAGGUUGUGAAACGAUUCUCAGAUAUGUUGCAGGUACAGUUCAUUCAAGAUUAAAGUUUAACAAAUGCACUGAUUUGAGACUUCUUGCAUUUACAUAUUCAAAGUGAGCAGGAGACUUGGAAGGUCAAAAAUAUAUUACUGGCUACUGUGUAUACUUAGGGAAUAACUUAGUGUCAUGGAAAAGCAAUAAACAAGCUAAAGUGAGUAGGAGUAGCACUGAGGUUGAAUAUCAAGCAAUGGCAGCAGCUCAAUUUGAACUUAUAUCAAUCCUGCAACUUCUUACACAACUCAGACCAUUUAUUGCAAUAAUCAAAGUGCUUGUCUAUUUGCAGCUAAUCUUAUUCUACAUACAAGGUUUAGAGACAAACUUAGAGUAGUUACCACAACUACAACUAUGUUUGAGGGAUCUACAAGUCGCCAUAAACUGGUGCAUAUGUAAAGACACAAUUCCAAUUCCGGGAGUGAAGACAAUAAAGCAAGUAAAAGAGAACUUGGGUGCUCUUGGUUGGCGCUUAUCUUCGGAAGAGGUGCUUCAGUUGGAGUAUGCAGCGCAGGAAUCACCUCGCAAGAUGAUCCAGAACAUUUUCCAAACCAGAUAAUAUCUGCGGCGGAUGCCUCUAUACUAGGCAUAUUUCAAGCUACGUAAUUCAUCAUUGUUUAUUAUCCAUAUAAUGUAGUGAAGGAUUCGGCAAAGAUAAGAUACACCGGAUUAUGGAACCAUUGGAUUGGAGCUAGUUAACUCAUCAGAAAAGACACAGAUGACCACUUUGAAUGCAAUGGCAACAAUAUUCAAUAUA